rnacentral:rRNA from 1 species
UACGGGGGGAGUAAGCGUUGUUCGGAUUUACUGGGCGUAAAGGGCGCGUAGGCGGUCAGCACAAGUCAGUUGUGAAAUCUCCGGGCUUAACUCGGAAAGGUCAACUGAUACUGUGCGACUAGAGUGCGGAAGGGGCAACUGGAAUUCUCGGUGUAGCGGUGAAAUGCGUAGAUAUCGAGAGGAACACCUGCGGCGAAGGCGGGUUGCUGGGCCGACACUGACGCUGAUGCGCGAAAGCCAGGGGAGCGAACGGG